rnacentral:lncRNA from 1 species
CUAAAAUCUGUGACACAUCCUCUUCCGUGUCCUUCCCCUUUCACUGUGGGAUACAAAUGGGCACAAGGUCCCGGGGACGAUAGAGCCACACCCAGAAGAAGCCUGACUUCCCAAAUGAUUUUGUAGAGGGGAACUGCCCUGCUGACUAGAACCAACGUGGACUAUUUCUCCAACAGGAGAAAAGAAAGAAAUUUAACCUGUCCUCACUAAUGCAGUGAAGAAAUGGGCAAUGAGAACACUCUGCCAAGUGAAGGUGGCUGACAUUUGGGGAGAAACCUGCUCACCCUGAGAAUCACCUUGGAAUUACUGAAGGUACCAGUAUUAGCUCCAGUUCACACUUGAGGAAACGGGUACGGAGAGGUUAAGUAACUCGCCUAGGUAACGCCGUUACAAGAGAAGCAGCACUCGAAACCUCAGAGCCCGCACUCCCAAGCUUUCUACUGGGCAGAGAAAUGAGAAGAAAAGCAGAACACUCUUGUGAUU